UGCACGUUCCCGGGCCCCGCCCGCUGGCACAAGGCAGGCAGGUGCGAGGAUGCGCCUCGGCUUUGGUACUUUUUUUUUUUAAUACUUCCCAGGUGAUUCUGACGCAGGCGCUCCACGGAAACCCUCCGAGAAUUCUGGGGGCCGUGGGGCCGCCCAGCUCAGUCCGGAGCUCCGGAACUCGGGGAAGAGCGUCCGGGAGCCGGGUCUGGGUUCCACACUCCGUCCGCCCCGAUGGCAGAGAGUGAGAUACGGACGCCCCGGGACGAGGGGCUCAGGACCCGGCUAUGGACACCUGCCUCCAUCUCCCGCCAGGUAUUUCACCCCAAUAAUAAAAUAAUAAUACCAGAAGCUGAAGAGUAAUCAGGACCUCAGGAUUACUCAUAGAUAACACAGGUGUGAAGAGAGGGGAGAGCAGCAAAGGCUGAGCUGCGUGUGCCUGGUCCCUUCCAGACUUUCCAAAUAACUUUGCCCCACGGAGGACAAGGAAAGCCAAAAGAGAGAAGCCAGGAUUGUUAGUCUUGGAAAAUGCCUCCAUAUAGAAACAUGAGCCGGAGAAUAAAUCACUUGCCUCUCUAACCAGUUGGAUUUGGUCCGUGAGUUCCUAGUUUUGUUCACCUGACUUAGUCCCUGACUUUUAAAGUCAAGUGCAUCAACAUGCUGCCAGUACUUUGAUGAACAUCUAUACAGGAUCCAUCUCUACAGCAGUGAAUUCCACCUGGGGUAAAGUAUGCGUGUAGGUUAGGAUGCUACAGCGGGACUCUGUCUG
rnacentral:lncRNA from 1 species